ensembl:lncRNA
GGCGAGCGGGGCGGUGUGUCUGUCUCGGCUGUCACACCUGUCCUGAGGAAAGCCCUGUGGAAGGAGCUCGGUGCCGCGAUUCAGGACCCUGAGGCCACUGUGAAACUGCAAAUUCUUUCCAAGCUGUUGCCACCUCCGGGAAGUAAAGGGCUGCACAACCUGAUGGACUGCCUUCCUGCUGCUCCGGAGAGAGCAGGGAAUGAAGAGAGUGUGUGGUUGAAGAAGUGGACCCAGAUGACUGGUGUGACCUUGUGAAGACAGGGCUCAAGUACCGUUACAGAGAUGAAACAUUUCUGAAGGUCCUGAACGUUGCCAUCCAGUUACUAUACAUGAAAGAAUCCUCACUUAGAGCGUAGUCAAGCUCUCCAAACUACACAUGGUGCUCACACAGCACUCUCUAUUUUUGGCAGCCAUCCUGAGGUCAAGAGAAGAAGAUGGCAUGAGCGUCCAGACAAGAGGAUGGCUCUCUGUGGUCUCAGACAGUGUUCCCUGGGAGGAAGGGCAGCCUUUGCCUCGCCUGCACAGCUCAGGUGGAUGUGACAGAAUUGCUGUGGUCUGCCAAGGCAUGAGCAGCUGUCUGUGCACUGGAGUGCCUUGAAACCUUUCUCUGUGAGGUUUUGGACACGUUUGUCUUUGGGAUUUCUUGUGACAGAGCACGCAGGACAGGAGAAAUCAUUGAGCUCCUCCCAUCUUUGCCAGAAGCUUCAGUGUUUAAGCAGCCAGAGCCAAGAGGCUUCAGCACCAGGGGUGUGCACUGGAGGGCUCCUGGUCCUGUCCAUGCUGUGGGGGAGCCAGGGCUGGCACAAGGACUCGUGCGGGUGCUGCUCUGGCACUGGACCUGUUUCCCUGUGGAGCCAUUUAAAAAUGUGAUUAUGGAACAUUUUGGAGGCCGUUUCUGGAAUUCCAUUUGUAGCUGGAUCUCGCUCUGAGUGCAGCAGUCCAGAUGCUGCACUCACCUCUGCAGACCAACGCUGAGCUGUCACUGCAGGAACCCGUCAGGCCUCCGUGGCUGAAAGGGAUGCACAUCCCUGCCUGCAGCACACCUCCAGUGGGACCCACCUGUGAGAGUUUUCCAUCACUUCUGCACCUCCAGCUGGCUCCCUGGAAAUCUCCAGACAUCAUCCCACUCAAACCUCUGAUUUUAAGGCAUCUCAGAGGCUAUGGCUAUGGCUUGGCAUUUAGUAUCUGUGAAGGAAGAUUGCCUUGGCUCAAAUGAAAUGUAAACUUUAAGGCAUUUAGAGAUUUUGAGGAGCUAAGAGAAAUAAGUCUUACUAGAAUUAAUUAAAAUAAGAAUAACAAAUGAGUAGGCCUUGAUGAAGUUAGGAGUUAGUAGUUAACUAAUAAUUAAUUGCUUGUCAGCACAAUGUUUAGUUAGCUGGGUUUAUAAUGAAGAAUAUAGAAACAGAUAAAUAGCUUUUAGGAACAUAAGACAAUUGUGGGCCUCUGUUCUGAAACCAAUUGAAGACAAGGAAUGGGAGUUCUACCAAGAGUUCAUUUGUCAUACUUGCAUUGAAAAGGUAGAAAGGUCAGAAGGAGGAAGACUUCAUUUACUUCCUCAUUUUGGGACCCCUCCCCAUGAAAGGGACCACCGACCCAUUUCAAGGGACAAACUACGCAUGCUUAAUAGCUUUUGGAGUGAUUAGCAUACGAAGCAGGGAAUGGGAUGUACCAAAAUUAUGAAUAUGUAUUUGUAUUUCGGGUAUUCAAUACUUGUAUGGAUAAAAAGACUCUGUAAUCACCUGGAAGGGGCGGUGUGUAUUUGGGAGCAAUCCCGCACGCUGCCCGGCGUCGAAUAAACAUACACUUGCUAACUUUAAA